GAUGAACGCUGGCGGCGUGCCUAAUACAUGCAAGUCGAGUGAACAGACGAGGAGCUUGCUCCUCUGACGUUAGCGGCGGACGGGUGAGUAACACGUGGAUAACCUACCUAUAAGACUGGGAUAACUUCGGGAAACCGGAGCUAAUACCGGAUAAUAUAUUGAACCGCAUGGUUCAAUAGUGAAAGACGGUUUUGCUGUCACUUAUAGAUGGAUCCGCGCCGCAUUAGCUAGUUGGUAAGGUAACGGCUUACCAAGGCAACGAUGCGUAGCCGACCUGAGAGGGUGAUCGGCCACACUGGAACUGAGACACGGUCCAGACUCCUACGGGAGGCAGCAGUAGGGAAUCUUCCGCAAUGGGCGAAAGCUUGACGGAGCAACGCCGCGUGAGUGAUGAAGGUCUUCGGAUCGUAAAGCUCUGUUAUUAGGGAAGAACAAAUGUGUAAGUAACUAUGCACGUCUUGACGGUACCUAAUCAGAAAGCCACGGCUAACUACGUG
rnacentral:rRNA from 1 species